rnacentral:lncRNA from 1 species
CAGGUCAUUGGGAUGUGCCCUUGAAGGGAGCAUUGAGAUCCUGGCCCCUCCUCUUUCUCUUUUUCUCCUUAGCCUCCAUGAGGUGGAAGCUUUCUCUACCACACACUCCUCAGCUCAGCCUCAAAGACAACCAGGCUGAGCAACCACAGCUGAAGCCUCUGAACCUGUGAGUCAAAACAAACCUUUCUUUUAAGUUGAUUUUAUCAGGUAUGCUGAUACAGUGACAGAAAACUGACUAAUACCUGCACACGCACACACGCGAGAACGAUUUAAAAAUAAGUUGCAGAUAUCAUGACAUUUUUCUCUUUAUUUUAGGUAAAUGAUAAAAAUGCCAUAAUUACAUAAACAAAAAUGAUCAAGUCUCUUGCAUUGUCAGUGUCCAGGACUUAUUCACACUUCCUUAAUUAUUCCCCAAAUGUCUUAAAUAUAUGUCGUGUUAGUGGUUGGUAGCUAGGGGGAAGAGGCUAGGCUAAGCUGUUCACUGCUCCAGAAAUAUUUUGAGUCAAAUGGUUAGGAAAAUGGGUUUUUAUUUCAAGCCAGCUUUGAAGGAAGAUAGGAGAAGCUUGUUGUUUCCAAAGUUUUGAACUCUCUGAAGGCAGCUCCCACUCUCAGCAUGAGAAAGUUGUUCUUAAUUCAGAAGAGCACCGCAACCCCCCCCACCACCAUUCAACCUGAUUCAAUAGGAUUAGUUUGCUGCUUCUCAAGUUUCAUACAAAUGCAAAUAUGCUGUUUUCACCCUUUGGGGUUCACUCUCCCUCAUCAUUAUAUCUGAGUGAUUCAUCCAUAUUGUAAUGUGUGACUGCAGUUCAUGUGUUUGCUCAUUGAAAUGUUGCAUUCUGUUGCAUAAAUAUGUCACAAAAGAUACAUCUAGUCUACUAUUGAUGGAUAAUUGGGUUGUCUCCCAUUUGUAAACAAAGUUGCUAUGAAGAUUCUUUUGCAAUACCACUGGGGACCAAAGUCAGGAGUACAAUUACUGGGUCAAAGGUGAGUGGCUGUUGAAAUUCGUAUUUCCACUAGCAAUGCAUGAAAGCUUCAGUUACAUGACAUGUUGCUAGUAUAUGGUAUUUUCAGUUCCUUUAAUUUUACUUUUAUUAGGGGUACAGGGGUACCUUGUGAUGGUUUUCCAUUAUUUUUUUUUUGUGUUGUGUGGGAUAAUGACAUUGGCCAUCUUUUCAUAUACUUAUUGACUGUACUCUUUUAUAAAGCACAAGUUCUUUGCUUCUUUUUCUAUGGGAUGGACUGUUUUUCAAGAUAAUACGUUUUAUAGGUGUUCUCUCUCUAUAUUUAUGUAAGGUAAAUAUCUUCCACCCUGUAGCUAAGGAAUUAAAAAUAUACCACCCUGGUAUAGUGAGUAUUUUGAGUUGAUGGCUGUUAUGAUUUGGAUCUGGAGUGUUCUCCAAAGGCUCAUGGGUUGAAAGCUUGGUCAUCAAUGCAGCAAUAUCAAGAGCUGGGGCUUUGGGGAAGUGACUGGGUCAUGAGGGCUUUGACGUCAUCCGUGGAUGAAUCCAUCCAUGGUUUCAUAAUUGAACAGACUAUUGGAGGUGAUGAAAACUGUAGGAGGUGAGGCCUAGUUUGAGGAAGUAGGUCACUGGAAGCAAGUGCCCUGGAAGGGUAUGUCUUGUCUCUGGCCUCUUCUCUCUCUCUUUCCUGGCUGCCAUGAUGAGCUAAGAAGCUUUCCUCUGCCAUACCCUUCUGCCAUGAUGUCCCGCCUCUUCUCAGUCCCAAAGCAAUGGAGUCUGCUCUCCAUGGACUGAAACCUCUAAAAACAGGAGGCAAAAUAAGUCUUUCUUCCUUUAGGUUAUUUUUCCUUAGGUAUUUGACACAGUGGCAAAAAAAUCGACUAACACAAAGGCACUUGGAAAACAACAGGUUCAAGAAAAUUAUUCUCAUUUUCUUUUUGUUUCUUUAAAACAGGAGAUGAAAUUCUCCUGUGAAAGAUCCCUUCCUUAUACCAGAAAGAAAACAUUCUUAUUAUCAAGGAUGGGAACUGGAGACAGGGAAAUCUGUUUAAACGAAUCUUGUUAGACCAGCGAUUAUCCUCCUAUUCACGUCACCAAUUUGGUACCUUCUGCCUUGUCAUAUUUUCCUAAUUUACUAUUCUUAUCUCACUCAAUAUGUAUGUGUAUACUGCUUUUUAAAUACUAUAGCAACGUUUAUUAGAAGGGAAAGUGGGGUGGGUGGGUGGGUAUACUUUUAUAGAGAGAGUGGGUUCUCUUGGAAAAGUGAGUGACUAAAAGUGAUUAUUUUCAGUGUUGGGGACAAACCCAGGGCCUUGCAUAUGCUAGGUAACCACUCGACCACUGAGCUACAUCCCUAGCCCAUAUAUGUUUAGUGCUAACUGUGUCUUUGGGUCUUCAUUUUCUUAUGAAGAUUCCAUGCCACUUAAAACUUGUAUUACAUAAAUUUGGAUGCAUUCCUCUUGUUUAUCUGUCUUAUGCCAAUUUAACUCUCAGGUUCCAUUAAGAAACCCUAAAGUGAAGAGGUAAAACUUUGUCUCCUUUACAUCUCAUUGUUUUAAUGAAGUCUUUAGGUGAACAGAAGCUCUUAAUGUUAAAAAUAUAGAGUUUUAUUUUCAUUUUAGAGUGUUCCGUUUAAAAAUCUUUGCCUACUUCAAGCUCAUAAAAAUACUAUUUUAUAUUUUCUUCUCGAAGUUUUAGUGUUUCAUCUUUGAUAUUUAGGUUUAUGAUCUAUCACAAAUUCAUUUUUUAUAAGGAAAGGGUGAAAGUUUAUUUUAUUUUUUUUCCAUAUGAGUAUGUAAUUGCUGCAAGCAUCCUUUACUCAAAAGGUGAUUUUUUUUUUCCCUUCAAUCACAGUGGCUUUUUUUGCCAUAGUGAAAUGUACAUGUGUGGGUCUUUUUGUGAAACCUAAAAAAUUCUAUUUCACUGAUUUAUAUCAGUGAUUUAUAUACCUGUAUACAAAUACUACAUGGUUAUUUUAUUAUUGUGGUUUUCGAGUAAGUUCUGAAAUCUGGUAAUAUAUACAUUUUUCACAUCUUUUGUUUACUUCAAAAUUAUUAUGUCUACUAUGGGUUUUGGUGUUUUCAUAUUAAUUUUAGAGUCACAUGCUAAUUUAUAAACACACACAAAUAUACAUAACUUAUGGGAUUUUGAUUGAGAUUAGAUUUUAUCUCUGGAUCAUUUAUGAAGAACUGAUGUUUUUACAAUGUUGAGUUUCCCAAUCCAAAAACAUGGUAUACCUCCCCCAUUUAUUUUGGUCAUCUUUACUUUUCCUCAAUGCUGCUUUGUAGUUUUCAGUGUUAGAAGUCUUGCAUAUGUAUUUUUUUCAGUUUUUAUUUUGAAAUAAUUACAAACAUACAGAAAAUUGCAAAGAUAUCUACCGGGAGGAACUGUGCACAUAUUACCUAAUCUCUCCCAAUGUUAAUAUCUUCCAUAAAUACAGUACUGUGUCAAUGCUAGAAAAUUGACAUUGGUACAAUUCACAAAGAUUGUUCAGAUUUCUCCAGUUGAUCUGUGUAUGUUUCUAUAUUUAGCUCUGUGUUCUUUUAUCACGUGUGUACGUUAAACAUCUUCUAUCACUAUUCACAAUACCUGAGAUAAUUAACUUUUUAAAAAUUAUUUGUUCUUUUUAGUUAUACGUGACAGUAGAGUAUAUUUUGACAUAGUUAUACAAACAUGGAGCACAUUGUUUUCCAAUUAGGAUCCCAGUCCUGUGGUUGUAUGUGAUGUGGAGAUUCAUGGUGGUGUAUUUAUAUAUGUACAUAUGAGAGUUAAGUCAGAUUCAUUCCACCAUCUUUCCUAUUCCUGUCCCCAUUCCCUUCCCUUCAUUCCCCUUUGUCUAAUCCACUGAACUUCUAUCCACCCCACCUUGUUGUGUGUUAGUAUACACAUAUGAGAGAGAACAUUCAACCUUUGGUUUCUUGGGAUUGGCUUAUUUCGCCUUACAUAAUAGUCUCCAGAUCCAUCCAUUUACUGACAAAGGUCAUAAAGUCAUUUUUAAUGCAUAUAUUUUGUAAGAUUGAUUCAGUGGUAUACUGGUAAGCCUAUCCCCUGGGCAGUGGGGGAGGCCAAAGCUUCAGCUCAAGGCAUUUACUGAAUUCUAUGUGGAAUUAAUGAUUAAUUUUAUGCUAAUGAUAUGAUGUUAGUGAACCCAGCAUUGGGAACAGAGCUGUGGGAUGCUGAGGACCCCUGAGACAUCCUGAACGUCUUCCUGUCCCUCUUGAAUAUGUCUUCUGUCUCAUCCUCAGGGCUGUGAAGAUGGUGGAUUUUACGCCUGUGAUUAGCUUAUCAUAUGGUAAAGUUGACCUUAAGGUAAGGAGUUAUCUGGGUGGACCUACUGGAACCACAUGAGUCCUUGAAAAGAAGGAAUUUUUCUCUGUCUGGUGGCACCAGGAGACUUUCAAAACAUGAGAAGUACUUGACAUGAGGGAGAUUCCCCACUGUUGAGAUGGAGGGAACCACAUGGCAAGGACCUGAGAGUGACCUCUGGCAGUUGAGAAUGGCCUUUGACUGACAGCCAGCAAGAGAAGGGGGACCAAGGUUGUCUGGCAGCAAGGAAAUGAUCUGUGCAACAACCAGUGAGUGGAAAAUGACCCCGAGUCCCAGAUAAAGCUGCAGCCUCAGUGAAGUCCCCAGGCAGAGAAUCGAUUCAUGUCAUGCCAGAACUUCUGAUUGACCCAAAUGACAAGUGAUAAAUUAAUGUCGUUUUCAGCCACCAAGUUUGUGGCUGUUGGAAUGUGGCAAGAACAACAAACAUAGAUUUCGGUAUCGAGAGUGUUGUUGCUGUAAGAAGCACUUCAAGUGCGGGCGGGCAAAGAUGGAGCAGCCCUGUUCCUCUUUUGUUCUCCUUUACAACUAAAAAUCCCUGGGCAUAGUACAAUAAACCCACUCUGGAGAUUCUCCAGGUGGUGGAAAGAAGGUGGCUUCCCAGGAGCCUCAGGAAGGGCACCGUGGUGAGUUCUCUGUGGCCCUCCCUGCUUCCCACGAUCUCUCCUCAGUGUGCUGCAGAACCACCCACCCAACAGACAGAUAAAAAGGGUCCAAGGAAAGCCUGCUCCCCCACAACUAAAGGGCUAGGAAAAGGGUGAUGGCCUCAACCACAGAGAACCUUCUUGACAAGGUCCUUCCCACUCCAGCCAACCACACUCCAACAGAAGCCAUGCUCCAUGGUUUAGUGGGGUUGGGCAGGGAGUGGAUCUUCCAGCUCCUGCCCAGGAGAUCAGGCUGCACUCCAGCUUUCCCUCCAGGAUGGUGUUAAGAAGUUCAGUGGUGAAGUGAGCCACUCCCACCCAGAGCCGUGAAUGGAAGGGGAGCAGAAUCUGUCAACCCCAAACAUGCCAUUUUUAACUGAGAAACAGCAGCUAUAGGACUGGACCCUCCCCAUUUCUGCCAAAAGGCGGGUAUACAUCUGCCUUUAUGCCCCCUCCCUCUCUCAUCUGAGGAGAAUGAAAAUAAAUAUUAUCUCUGGAGACAGAAUGUUGGUACUGAGCUCUGUCUGAACAACCUUGACUAAAAUAACCCUGAUCUUCCAUUAGUUCCCCCCCCCAAUAUAUUUACCUUCCCACAAUGUAUUGCUCAUAGAAACCCAACCUCCUUUUUUCCCUUUGCCUUGUCAUUUCUGCACACAUUUAUUUCCCUUUGUUAGGAUGAUUUUAUAAGCCCUAACUCAUCAUUGUGUUCUCCAGUGUGUGAAUGGCACGUAUAAAUAAAUAAGUCUUUAUUUCUUCUUGUUUAUUUGUGUUUUAUAGUUUAAUUUGCAGUCCCCAGACCCUNCUGCAGCCUCAGUGAAGUCCCCAGGCAGAGAAUCGAUUCAUGUCAUGCCAGAACUUCUGAUUGACCCAAAUGACAAGUGAUAAAUUAAUGUCGUUUUCAGCCACCAAGUUUGUGGCCGUUGGAAUGUGGCAAGAACAACAAACGUAGAUUUCGGUAUCGAGAGUGUUGUUGCUGUAAGAAGCACUUCAAGUGCGGGCGGGCAAAGAUGGAGCAGCCCUGUUCCUCUUUUGUUCUCCUUUACAACUAAAAAUCCCUGGGCAUAGUACAACAAACCCACUCUGGAGAUUCUCCAGGUGGUGGAAAGAAGGUGGCUUCCCAGGAGCCUCAGGAAGGGCACCGUGGUGAGUUCUCUGUGGCCCUCCCUGCUUCCCACGAUCUCUCCUCAGUGUGCUGCAGAACCACCCACCCAACAGACAGAUAAAAAGGGUCCAAGGAAAGCCUGCUCCCCCACAGCUAAAGGGCUAGGAAAAGGGUGAUGGCCUCAACCACAGAGAACCUUCUUGACAAGGUCCUUCCCACUCCAGCCAACCACACUCCAACAGAAGCCAUGCUCCAUGGUUUAGUGGGGUUGGGCAGGGAGUGGAUCUUCCAGCUCCUGCCCAGGAGAUCAGGCUGCACUCCAGCUUUCCCUCCAGGAUGGUGUUAAGAAGUUCAGUGGUGAAGUGAGCCACUCCCACCCAGAGCCGUGAAUGGAAGGGGAGCAGAAUCUGUCAACCCCAAACAUGCCAUUUUUAACUGAGAAACAGCAGCUAUAGGACUGGACCCUCCCCAUUUCUGCCAAAAGGCAGGUAUACAUCUGCCUUUAUGCCCCCUCCCUCUCUCAUCUGAGGAGAAUGAAAAUAAAUAUUAUCUCUGGAGACAGAAUGUUGGUACUGAGCUCUGUCUGAACAACCUUGACUAAAAUAACCCUGAUCUUCCAUUAGUUCCCCCCCCCAUAUAUUUACCUUCCCACAAUGUAUUGCUCAUAGAAACCCAACCUCCUUUUUUCCCUUUGCCUUGUCAUUUCUGCACACAUUUAUUUCCCUUUGUUAGGAUGAUUUUAUAAGCCCUAACUCAUCAUUGUGUUCUCCAGUGUGUGAAUGGCACGUAUAAAUAAAUAAGUCUUUAUUUCUUCUUGUUUAUUUGUGUUUUAUAGUUUAAUUUGCAGUCCCCAGACCCUGAACAUAUAGGGAACAUAAUAGGGUAGAAGAAGAGGUUUCUCUCUCCUACAAAAUUUCAUGAGGUUUAUUUUCCCAUUCCCCUCACAACCUCUUAUAUGUAAUUUUGUAUAACAGUGAGGGUCUCCCUCCAUUACCAUGCAAUUUCCCUUUUCUCUCCCUUUCCCUCCCACCUCAUGUAUCUGUUUAAUGUUAAUCUUUUCUUCCUGCUCUUCCUCCCUGCUUUGUUCUUAGUUGCUCUCAUUAUAUCAAAGAAGACAUUUGGUAUUUGUUUUUUAGGGAUUGGCUAGCUUCACUAAGCAUAAUCUGCUCUAGUGCCAUCCAUUUCCCUGCAAAUUCCAUGAUUUUGUCAUUUUUAGUGCUGUAUAAUACUCCAUUGUGUAUAAUUGUGAGGGGAAUGGGAAAAUAAACAAGGAGAUAAAUGAAUUACAGUAGAUGGGGUAGAGAGAGAAGAUGGGAGGGGAGGGGAUGGGAGGGGAGAUAGUAGAGGAUAGGAAAGGCAGCAGAAUACAACAAUUACUAAUAGUGCAUUAUGUAAAAAUGUGGAUGUGUAACCGAUGUGAUUCUGCAAUCUGUAUUUGGGGUAAAAUUGGGAGUUCAAAACCCACUUGAAUCAAAUGUAUGAAAUAUGAUAUGUCAAGAGCUUUGUAAUGUUUUGAACAACCAAUAAAAAAACAAACAAAAAACAAAACAAAACAAAAUUUCAUGAGGUAGAAGGGGUAGGACUAGCUUCCACCCUCGCCUGGCAUCAAGGAGGUGGAAUAAGAUGCUGAGAAAUGGGGUUACUUGUUGCUCUGUUCUUCCGCUUAGUCAGCAGGCUCACUUGAGCUUCUGACUCACCGCAUAGCAACCAACAAAGCACUGUGAAUCAACCGGCCCUUUCCCUUCUCUGGCAGCAGUGGGGCUCAACAGGGAGCUCUGUGUCCUUACUUGGAAGCAAUGAGCUUGCACAAUUGGGCUGCAGGAAGGCAUCAGUGAAUAAGGAAGGAGGAUCUGAGUGUGUGUGUGGGGAGACUCUGUGAGCCAGCAGGGGUGCUGUCAGUGAGCCCAGCAGGAAUCCAAACACACUGAAUUGCUCUCUCUGGCACUGCAUUUCUAUAGGAGGGGUCUCUAAUUAAAAAAAAAAAGGAUCUAGAGUCUCAUAAUGUCCACUGCAUACAUAAUACCAAUGAACAACUGAUUAUAACAAGAAACAAGAAAAUUAAAAACUCAAUAAGCUGAUCCCAACACUGGAGUGAAUCAGAUGUUGGAUUAUCUGACAUGGGUUUGAGUGGCCAUCAUAAAAAUGGCUUCAACAAAUAGCCCUGAAUUCUCUGGAAACAAAUGAAAAAGGGGGAAAUUUCAGCCAAGAAAAAUGGAAAUUUUAGAACUGAAGAAUGUAGUAACUAACCUCCCCACCCUCCACCCUCAUCCCCCAACCCCUGGCCAGAUAUCCAACAAUGACAAACCAAAACUCACUGGGUGGGCUUAAUAGUGGAGUCAUUGUAGAGACUUCAGAGAACAGAAUCAGAAAAAUUGAGGAAAUAUAUAUUUGAAUGACACUAUAAACCAACUAGACCUAAUAGGUAUUUAUGCAACUCUCAACCCAAUAGAAGAUUACAAUUUUUUUUUUAAGCACUGAUGGGGUCAUCUAUUAAGAGAGGCCAUGUCCUUGGCCAUAAAACACCUCAACAAAUUUAAAAUAAUUGGAAUCAUAUAGAGUAUGUUUUCUGACCAUAACGGAAUCAACUUAGAAAGCUAUCACAAAAAGACGGCAGAAAGAUCUCUAAACUCUUAGAAGUUAAAAACCACCCUUCUAAGCAAUAUCCAAGUGGAAGAAUAAGUCUCAAAGAAGUGAAAGAUAUAAAGAACUAAAUGGGAGGGGCUGGGGAUGUGGCUCAAGCGGUAGCGCGCUUGCCUGGCAUGUGUGCGGCCCGGGUUCGAUCCUCAGCACCACAUACAAAACAAAGAUGUUGUGUCCUCCGAUAACUAAAAAAUAAAUAUUAAAAUUCUCUCUCCCUCUCUCUAUCUCUCUCACUCUCUCUUUAAAAAAAAAAAAGAACUAAAUGGGAAUGGAAACACAACAUAUUCCAAUAUGCGGGACACAGUUAAGAGAAUGCUGAGAGGAAAAUUUAUAGCACUAAAUGUUUUUCAUAAAAAAAGAGGAGUAGUUACAAUUAUCUAGGUACCUAACUGAAAAAAUGAGGAGCAAAUUAAAUAUAAAAUACGCAGAAGAAAUAAGAAUGAGGGCAGAAAAAAACAGGAAAUCACUAGAGAAAAAUCAAUGAAAUAAAAUCUUGUUCUUUGGAAAAUACAGAUAAAACUGACAAAUCUCUAGCAAGACUGACAAUGAGAAAAAGUCAAGAAACAAACCACCUGUUACAGAAGUGAAAUGGAAAGUCACUUCAGAGCUUGGUCUCCUGCUUAGUGGCCAGCCUGAGCAAGUACUCUGCUCCUAAAACGCUUGAGGAUGAUCUUACCUAGAUCAUCCUCCACCCUAAGGCCCCCUGUACCAUGCAUGCCCAGUCACAGGAGCAAAAUCCAUCAUCUUCACUGUUCUAUAGGGGCAGUGUGAGGUAUGAGAACCAGAGGGACGCAUCUUGGGGUUUUGAAUCUAGGUCAACAUAGUCCAUCCCUUGGCCCCCAAACAUUUAUAACUCUCCCAAAUGCAAAAUUAUGCUAACUUCCUUCCAAGAUCGGCAAGGGUCUUAUCCCAUUAGAGAGCAUCAUUCAGAAAUCCAAAAUGUCAUAUUAACCUUAUCAGCUCAAAAGUUCAAAAUCUCAUAUAAAAUAUCAAAACCAUGUGUGGAUGAGCCUCCAAGGUGUAAUCCGUGAAGUGUCAGUUCUGGGCACAUUUCCCUUGCCCGUGGGCUGGUGACAUUAGAGAUAGUUAUCAGCCUCCUGAUCCCCAUCACACAACCAUGGGACAGGUACAGGAUAAUAGUUAUUAGCAUUCCAUUUCAAAAAGGGAGGGAACAGGGCUGGGGAUGCAGCUCAGUGGAAGAGCAUUUGCCCAGCCUGUACGAAGGCCCGAGUUUAAUCUCUGUACUGCAGAUCAAAACAGAACAAGACAAACCAACAUAAAAACACCAGAAAAAAGAAAGGAAUAGAAAGUAAAAAGUCACCCCCAGUCCAAAGCAGCCUUGGAAAUUCUUCUCUUGGCUCCACCCUGCGCCAUCUUUCCCAUUUUGUGACUGGUACCAUUUGUUUGCUGCAUGUAUUGUAUCUGUCAGGUAAAAGCCAUAUCCCCUGAUUAUUCCAAGAUAAUCCCUCCUCUAUUUUUGACUCCUGCAAUGGCUGAGGGAAAAAAAAAAUCUUAGAAUACUAGAAGCUCCCUACAAACCCUCAGAGUUGAUUGAGAAGAUUGUGAUUCAUAUCCUUAGCACUUUGGGUUGUAUGUGUUUGAAUACUCUUAAAAAAAAAAAAAACCCUUCCAAGGUUUCAGUCAAGGGUUGUAUGGUCACACACUCAGCCUUUUCUCUACUACAUUUGUAGUAGCUAUUAUGACAUUUAAUAUCUUUGGCCAACUGGAGAAGGUGAGAGUUUUCAAAAUCAUCUUGAUUUUGAUUUACUUAUGUUUAACAAUUCUUCCCUGAUUUCUCUCUCUUUUCUCUUUAUUUUAUAAUAAGGAGCAGGAAGAAACUAGGAAGUUUGUUCAGUAGUUUGCUUUGAGAUCUCUUUAGCCACAUCAGCACAUUUGUCUCUUCAGUGUCUGUGGGAGGGGUUUCAGGGUCCCCUGCAGAUACCAAGACACAAGGAUGCACAAGACCCUGACAUCAGUAGGCACAGCAUCUGUAUAAAAGCCACACACAGACUCUCACAUACUUUAAAUCAUCACCAGGUGACUUAUAAUACCUAAUACAAUGUAAAUGCUGUAUAACUAGUCUCUUUGCUGUACUGUUUGGUGAUGGAUGACAAGGAAUAAGUCUGCCUAUGUUUUCUUUGACUGUUUUACACCCACGGUUGGUUGAGUCCAUGAGUAUGGAAAUCGCGGCUCCUGAGGGUGGAUUGCACAGUUAUGCUUUCUGUGUAAAUGUAGGAAGCAGUUUUGUUGAGAUUUCUUUCACCAUUUAACAAGGGUGGAUACUCCUUUCUCUAGUUUCCAAUAACAUGCUCAUCACCAAACACAUUAAAAAUUCUAUUCUAUUCAAAGUCUAUUCACAAAGGUUUAGAUUUUCUCUAAGGCAAUUUAGAAUUUCUCUAUUAUGCUCUUAUCUCCUCUGUCCUCACUAACAGCGUCUCUAAUAUCCUUAUUUUUAUCAGUUUUGUUUGAGGCAAUCAAGGUUUUUUGUUUUCUUGUUUUUACUUUUCUAUCUUGUUCCUUGAAAUUCUUUCAGCUUCUACCAACUGUCCAAUUCCAGUCACUUUAGCAUUUUUUAUUUAUACCUUUUAUUUUGAACUCAUUGAUGAUUUAUUUUCCUAUAAGAAAUGCAAAGAGUUUCCAUGUGCCCUUUAUUCAGUUUUCUUGAUGGUGAUGUCUUACAAAAUAUCACACCUGAGUUGGAUAUUUUUUGAUGCUAUCCUAAUUGGUGUUAUCUCUUAAAUUUCAUUUCUAAGUAUCUAUUGCUAGUGCAUAGAAAUAUAAUUCUUUUUCCUAUAUUGCCCUCUAUUCCUACAAAAUUCAAUCACCUAUGUUCAAUCACCUAUGUUCCUAACUGACAAUGAGGCCAUGUCCCAGUAAACUCACUGUAAUAUGAAAAUAUCGAAGCCAGAAUGCACUGGAUCUACCUAACCUACUGACCAUCACAGCCCAAAGCACAGUGCAUUAUAGAAUGCUGGCUGCUUGCCCUCAUGAUCGUGAGUUCUGAGUUGCUGUUGCCCCCCAGGAUUUCUUUUUUCUUUUUUAAAAUUUCUUACAUACAUGACAAUAGUGGAAUGCAUUACAUUCAUAAUUAUGCAUUCACAGCACAAUUUUUCAUAACUCUGUAUAUAAAGUAUAUUCACACCAAAUUAUGCCAUUAUACAUGAGCUCUCUGUUUUUUUUUUUUUUUGCAUUACAAUUCUUAAUACAAUUUCAAGAGAGGAUCCCACCAUGUAUUGCUAAUCUGGAAAAAGAUCAAAAUUCAAAAUUCAAAGUAGAGUUUCUACUAAGCACACGUGGGUUUGGCAUUGUUGUAAAGUUGAAAAGUCUGUUGAGUCACUGUAAUUUCGACCAUUGUAUUAGUUUUCCCUUAGUGUUGUCAACAUAUAUACCAUUUGUAAAUAUACAGUGUUAUUUUUUUUCUUUCUAGGUUUUAUAUCUUCUAUUUAUUUUCCUUUGCCUGGGGCCUCUAGUAUAAAGAUAAAUAGAAAUGAUGAGAGUAGUCAUUGUUUUCUUUCUGAGCUUGGAGUGCGGGGUGAAAAUGUUUGCUCUGUCCCCUUUCAGUAUGAUGCUAUUUGUACUUUAUCAGAUUUAAGAAAGGCCCUUUUAUUAUAAGUUUGCUGAGAGUUUUAUUAUGAACCUACUCAAAAUUUAUCACAUGCAUCUUUUUGGCAUCUCUUGAAAGAAUCAUUUAUUUUUUCCCCUUUAUUCUCUUAACGUGGUGAAUUGCAUCAGUUCAUUUUUGAAUGUUAAGCUAGUCUUGCGAUCCAUCAUUUAUUUUCACUGGAUUUAUGUUGCUCAUAUUUUGUUUAGGAUUUUUUUGCAGUCUGUUUAUGAAUGAAUUUGUCCAGAAAUUUUCUUUAUUUUCUAAUUUUUCUUUAUCAGUUAUUCAAAGUAAAGUUAUGCUGGUUUUAUAAAAUGACUAGGGCAGUGUUUUCUAUUUUUAUAUCUCUGGGGGACUGUGUGUAAUAAUUUAUUUAAACGUUUGCUACAGUUUUCUGGGGUAGAUGUCUUGGCCUUGAGCUUUGUUUAUGAAAAUAUUUUUGUUUCUAUUUGCUUCCUUAAUUGAUGGUUUUAAUUUCUUUAAUCGUUAUAGAAUUAGAUUUUCCUUUUUUUUUGUCUGUGUUUUUUUUUUUUCUUGAAAUUCAUUCAUUUUCCACAGUCCAAUUUGAAAAGAAAAUUGCCUACAUGUCAUCCUCCAAGGCACUUCCCAGGCUGCGUUUUCUUACUGUUUUCUAGAAGUCAGGAAAUGACAAGAAAUGAGCUUAAAUCCGUCACCCCAUUUUGGACCUCAUCACUCACAGUGCUUAGUUUAGGGAUGGUUUAGAGACCCAACAUUUUCAUUCCCUAUUCUUAGUGAAAUUUCUUUUUUUUCCCCCCUCUGGAGAUAAAUCCUUGUGGGGAACCCUUCUAAAUUGUUUGGAAUUUUGUUUUCCUUUGAAUCCCAAAAGACGCUACUCCCCAAAUUAACUCCUUAUAACGAACAAUGAUACCAGAGAUCUCCAAGCAUAUCAGGAAUUUCCUGGGCAUCCUGAAAGCAAUUCUUGGCUUCCUUGGUGGCAUGCUACUCAGGGGACAGGGUGCUAGUGGUUUUUCUUUCUUAUGAUGAAGGACCAAAGACGGCAAAUAGGCCACUCUUGGCUGUGUCCCCGUUAACGGCUUGCUAGAGCAGCAAUGGAACCCUCUUCAGAUUCCUUUGCUAAUGCUUGAUGCCUCCAGGUGCAUCAAAUCAGAGCAUGUUUAGAAACAGAGCUGUGAGGGGACAGGGAAAGGAGGUGCUUGGAGGACAGUGACACUGGGUGGACUUUUGGGCUAAUAAAGAAAGCUCUUCCCCCUUCUGGACUGUCAGGACUUUAAGGGACCAUAGAGAAAACAUAGCCCAAGCCUCUUAUUAGACAAAUGGAGAUACUACUGCCCAAGGCAUGAUUCAUCCUGGUCACAAGUGAGUGACAUGGGACUAGGGCCAACGGCUCAGAUUUCCGACGGCCAAGGCUGACUGCGCUCAGUGCUGCAGGAUGCCCACCUUACUCCUUCACCCCAAGCCCUUGCCGCCAUGUUUCCCAAUCUAUCCAGAUCUCUAGCCUUAGGGCGGAUGUUCCUGCUUCUCUCCACAGCCGAUUCCUCUCUUUGUCCAUUCACCGUCUUAGGCUCUUUUCACCAAAGGAAGAGCUACGAUGGUCAGUGGGCCAUGCUUUCUCACUUGGUAUUGGGUUUCCAUGCCAGGAAACUAUCUCAGAGCCCUGUGCUGCUUUCUUCUCUUUCUCUUUGUGGGGUAAGAAUGAUGUGUAGGUUCUCUUCAAGUGGCUGGUUGGAUAAGUGGAUUUAGGAGUCUUCCUGGGGCCAGAUUGCCUUCUUAACUCUCAGCUUCAGACAUAAUGAAAUAGACAGCUCUAAGGUUCACUAUUGGACGGUAAGGAGAGGUCUUGGAAAACCUUAGUGUGAUGUAAUAAAUGUUUACUGAGCUCCUACCUAUGCCAGGUGCAGGGGUUCUUCUCUGAACAUACCAAACAAGGUUGUCCCUGACCUCAUGCAUCUUACAUUUCAGCAGGGAUAAGUGCAGUAAAUAAGAAAACAAAUAAGUAAACAAGAUAUGACAGAUGCUGAUAAGUCCCCUGAAAUUAGACAUAAAGUGGUAUAAUAGAAAGGAACUUAGUGAGGUGGGGUAGGGGGUUCAAUUGAAUCUGAGCCUGAAAAAUAAGGAAAAACCAUCCAUGAGAAGGGCUUGGAGGAGAGCUUUCUUGAACUUGGAAGCAGCAAAUCUAAAGUCCUCAAGAUAGCAAGGAACUUGAGUGCUCCCAGAACCUCACAGACUAUGACAAAUGUGGGCAGAGAACCAGGAACAAGGGCGAGUGAGGCACAAGAUGAAGUAUGAGCAAGGAGAGUUGCUGGAUCUUAUGGGGUCUCGAGAGCCAUGGUGAAGGAAUUAGAUCUUAUUUCAAGGGUGUAUCAGGGUUCUCUGGAGAACUAGAACCAAUAAAAUAUACAAAAUUAUUAGUAGGGAUUUAUUAGAUUAGCUUACACAAUUAGAGACUGAAAAAUCACACAGUAACUAUUCUCUGUCUGCAGGCUGGAGAGCCAGGGAAACCAGUAUCUGCUCAAUCCAAUAAGCCAGAACCCCGAGAAGAGGGACCAAUUAUGCAUCCCCAGCCUGAAGCCAAAGCCCUGGAAGCCUGCUGGUUCAAGUUGUCAUUCAAAUGCUGAAAAUCUGGUCAGAUGUCCAAGUCCUACAGCAGCAGUAACAAGUUUUUGAACUUGUUCAAGAAGGGUCAAGAGUACAUGCAUAAGAGAAAGGCCAGGUGUAGUGGUGCAUACCUGCAAUCCCAGUGACUUGGGAGGCUGAGGCAGGAGGAUUACAAGUUUGAGGUCAGCCUCUAUAACUUGGUGAGAAUCUGACUCAAAAUAAAAGAAGACUGGGGAUGUGGUUCAGUGGUAAAGCAUCCCUAGGUCAAUCUCUAUCUCUCCUCUAUCUAUCUAUCUAUCUAUCUAUCUAUCUAUCUAUCUAUCUAUCAUCUAUCCAUCCAUCCAUCCAUCUCUCCAUCCAUCCAUCGUACAUGCAUAAGUUCUUCCUGUUUGUUUUUAUUGUUCCAUCCGGGUCCUCAGUCUAUUGGAUGGUGUCAUCUGCAUUCAGAGUGUGUCUGUGUCUUCCCCACUCAGUUUACUGCCCCCUCCCCCCGCCUUCUCUGGAAACACUCUCACAGACACUCCACAACUGUGCUUUCCUAGCUCCCUAGACAUCCCUCCAGCCAGUCAAGUUGACAACCCAAAUUAAUCAUCACAAAGGGAAAGAGAUAUUUUAAUUUGAAUGUUGACAGGACCCAAAGAUCACUUUGGCAAAUGGAAUCACAACUGUGUGGCGGAGGUUGGUAGUCAUUCCCCAGCACUUCUAUCUCUCUUUACACUGUAACGGAAUUUUUAGCUGGUCACAUGAACACCCAGCUGAAGAGGAUAGUCCCAGAUUCCCUGGUCAUUUGUAUUCCAAGGAUUGGAACGCGGAUGGAAAUGACAGCUGCAACUUCUGAUCAUGUGCUUAAAGGGGAGGUGUGCCUCCUCUUCCUUUCCCCUUGCUCCUUGUGGCUGGCUAGAGGGGGGCCUGGUGAUAGGAGCUGCCUCGAGAUGGAAGCCUUGUAUUGAAGAUGGCAAAGCAAUGACUGGAUGGAAACUGGGUCACUGAUGGGGCGAAGCUUCCUCCUCAGCCCCAAGUCACUGACCUGGAUGUUUGAAUGAGGAAUAAAC